UACGUAGGGUGCAAGCGUUGUCCGGAAUUAUUGGGCGUAAAGAGCUCGUAGGCGGUCUGUCGCGUCUGCUGUGAAAACCUGGGGCUUAACCCCGGGCCUGCAGUGGGUACGGGCAGACUAGAGUGUGGUAGGGGAGACUGGAAUUCCCGGUGUAGUGGUGGAAUGCGUAGAUAUCGGGAGGAACACCAGUGGCGAAGGCGGCUCUCUGGACCGGUUCUGACGCUCAGGCG
rnacentral:rRNA from 1 species